rnacentral:rRNA from 1 species
AUGGUUGGCCCGCAGUACGACCUCGUCGGCAACCCCCUGGGCGCGGUGCGCGCCACCUUCGAGAGGGCGGCCGCGGCGGAGUCCGGGGGGCGCGACCCCGUGGCGGCGUUCCGGUCCAAGGACUGGGGCGCCAGCGAGGUGUUCCGCUCCUUCCUCUUCGAGCAGGGCGGCCUCGACAAGGUUCCAUUGUUGGAUGCAUCAAAUCUCGGAUUGAUCAAACCCAACACCCUCGUCCGGUUCCGGGGGAUGGUUCAGGACAUGCUCGGGAACGAGUUCUAUGCCGGCGCUUUCAAGGAUGGGUCUACCUGGAGGACGAACAAGUUUACAGAUUUCUCGCCAUUCGCUAUGCCACACCCGUGUGACUCGCAUCUCUGGGAGCGCCAUCUCUUCCAUUGCGUGCCGGUGCCUGGACAGAAUUCUUGGACACUCGAGUCUUCCCCUGGGCCUGACUUGCGCCAGAUGGCAAACUGCUUGACACCUGAACAAAGGGAGAAAAGGAAGAGGGAUGGAGAUGAUGUUGCCAUGGAUAAGGAAGAUGACGUCCAGAUCCCAUCUAGUUCAGCCGAGAUGCCAGCAAGUGAAAAUGUGCCACAGAUGAAUGGGAAUGAUCAUCAUAUUCCUGGAAGCUCUUUUUCAUGUCUAGUGAAGAUCUAUGAUAUGCCUGAAAGUCAAGUCAAACUAAAUGAUGUUGCUGAGUUCAUAGGGGUAUACACAUUUGACCCAGAACUUGCUGCUCCCAAUGAUAAUUCGGAUGAUAUAAUGUUUGAUCUCAUAGAAGAUGUAACAGCUCAGUUGCCUCCCAGCAAGGUGCCCCGUCUUCACUGUUUGGUGUGGCGAAAAUUAUCAUCUGUUGAUUUUCUAGCAAAGCAUCCUGCUGUUGAGCCUUUGCCAAGUCUACUAAAAGGCAUCCGGCAAUCUUUGCUCUCACAUCUCACUCUGGUAUUAGGGAAAGAUGACCUGGCAGCUAACUGUUUACUGCUGCAUCUUCUAUCCAGACUACGAACUAGGGUGGAUGUGGUCACCGUUGGCAGGCUCUCCUUGAAUUUCACUGGAUUUAACAGAGAAAGUGUUUCCAUUUUUGGAAAACAGCUAAAUACUUUGAUCCAGGGACUAAUGCCAUAUUCACAAGCUAUUCCUCUGUCAAUUGAGUAUCUCAACACAGCCACACUUCAACCUAGAAAGGACAACAAGUCAGGAAGGUUGGUUACAGGAGUUCUGCAGCUACCUCAAGGCGCUCACUUGACAUUUGAUGAAACUCUCUUGCAAUCUGGAUCUUUGGCAUCUAAAGGUGUUGAGAAUACUGUGCUGCUUAAGAACUUGAUGGAGUCACAGAUGGUUGAGUAUGAUUUUGAGUACUACAAGCUGGAGAUGGCGACCGAUGUGCAGCUACUUACUCUUUCCGAGGGAAAAUCCAACAUCCUGCCUUCAGACCUGGUAGUGCCUUUUCGUCCAUCCACUGUUUCUGCGGUGAAUGCAACUUCUGAGGAACUUGAGAGCUGGAGGUGGUACUUGGCCACAGUGAGGUCUCUUCCUCAGUCAUCUGAACCUGAGAUUUACCAGACGAUCCAAGAUGAAAUGGUCAGUGCCAUGCGCAACGACAGGAGCUUGGGUUGCACUGAACUUAGCAGAUGGCUGACAAUGGCUCAGAUUACAGCCUCAAGCUUUGGUGAGAAGAGCCUUUCCCUGGAGCACUGGCAGAUGGCGAAGGAGCUUGAGAGGCUUAGAAAGGAGAGGAUGCAAUGA